rfam:Ricinus communis cultivar Hale ctg_1100012361526, whole genome shotgun sequence.
AAUCCAUGGUGUGGGCAAUAUCGUAGCAAGUCCUUGUACCUCUCUCAGGCAUCAUACAUGCUCUCGUCAUCGAAUUACACAAAAGAAGAUAUGUCAUUUCUCAAUUU